UCCUAUUGUAACUCUUUCUUCAGGUUGGGAAUGCUGAUCACUACAACAGCUACAUCCAGUCUCUGAAGACCAGUAUUCCUGUUAGAGGCCUUCAGGAAUUCUGGGACAUGCUAGUCCAAGAUGCCCUGACUCUGAUCAACAAGGACGAAGUUGAAGGGAGCACGUUCUCCAGUCAUGAUGCCAAGCAGUUCCUGACUGCAGAGGAGAAGAAAGAGGAGGUAGUAGCAGCUGUGGUGGACGAUACAGGAGAUGUGGACGACUUGCUGGACAUGAUGUGAGGUAGAAGACUACUGGGUUGAGGAGUGGAGGAUGAAGGAAACGUGACCAAACAGAUUCAACUGUCCAUCAUCUGCCACCUGGAGUUAACGGCAUACUUCGGGAUUUUGACAAUUUAUUGAUUUCCCCAGAGUCAGAUGAAUACCAUGUGGAUGCCAUUUUUAUGUCUSUGUAUCCAGUAUGAAGGAAGUCAGAGGUAAUGCUAGCUGAUAUCCUAUACAGAGCCUUCGGAAAGUAUUCAGACCCCUUAGCUUUUCCCACUUUUUGUUACGUUACAGCCUUAUUCUAAAAUUGAU